AGAGCACUGUUUGGGUGAGGGGUCCAUCUCGGAUUACCAAUCUCAGAUAAACUCCGAAUGCCAACGAGAUAUCAUCGGCAGUCAGACUGCGAGUGCUAAGAUCCGUAGUCGAAAGGGAAACAGCCCAGACCACCAGCUAAGGUCCCAAAAUAACUGUUAAGUGGAAAAGGAUGUGGGGUUGCACAGACAACUAGGAUGUUAGCUUAGAAGCAGCUAUUCAUUCAAAGAGUGCGUAAUAGCUCACUAGUCGAGUGACCCUGCGCCGAAAAUGUACCGGGGCUAAAACAGUUUACCGAAGCUGUGGAUGACACAAAAGUGUCAUGGUAGGAGAGCGUUCUAUGUGUGAAGAAGGUGUACCGUGAGGAGCGCUGGAACGCAUAGAAGUGAGAAUGCCGGUAUGAGUAGCGAAAGACAGGUGAGAAUCCUGUCCACCGUAAGACUAAGGUUUCCAGGGGAAGGCUCGUCCGCCCUGGGUUAGUCGGGACCUAAGGAGAGACCGAAAG
rnacentral:rRNA from 1 species